UGCUGUGUUGACACGCUCUGCACCUUGCUCCUGCCCUCGCCUUUCACUCUUCUUAUCCCCCCGAUACCCCGAUCAUUCCUGACAGCUCCUGAGUGCCUGGAUUUCAUCAUCCAGCCCUGCAGGAUGCUCCCAUUUGUCCUGAGGGAGGCUGUCCCAGAUGGAGAGGAGGACAUGGAGGUGGAUACAAAGAUUGAUAUGGAUGAGGAGAUGGAAAUUGACGGAGAAGACUCUGGAGAGGAAGAGAUGGACGUGGAUGUGGAUGAGGAAGAGGAGAUGGAAGUGGAUAUGGAAGAGUCCAUUGAGGACAUGGACAUUGAUUGAAAAGGCUGUCCCAGAUGGAGAGGAGGAGAUGGAGGUGGAUACAAAGAUUGAUAUGGAUGAGGAGAUGGAAAUUGACGGAGAAGACUCUGGAGAGGAAGAGAUGGACGUGGAUGUGGAUGAGGAAGAGGAGAUGGAAGUGGAUAUGGAAGAGUCCAUUGAGGACAUGGACAUUGAUUGAAAAGGUGCAAAGUCCAGAUGGAUUUCAAUGAAGAAUGUGUAACUCUAUCAAGAGCAAGAGAAACGUUGACCAUUCAACAAGCAAAGAAGACAGACAGAUAUUGGACAUGCUGUCUCAAGAUGUACAAAGUGUAAAUCAUGCAGUAUUGCAGAAUAGAGCAGCAAUGUAUGCUAUAGGGAUAUUAGGUGUAAUAGUAUUGCUAAUGCUUGCAUUACCAUGCUUGCUUAAUUGCGUACAAAGAAUAGUGAGUCAGAUGAUGGGAAGGGCUUGGAAAACAACACUUCUGGCCCAAAAAGAAAACGGGGGAAAUGUUGGGAGCUUUGUAACAAGCUAGCUCCGAGCUAAAGGUCACUGUGAGAUUAAUUUGACUGAGAUAGAGAAUGAGGGGAGUUGCCAUUCCAAUUAAACUGUGUCCUUGGCCCACGGAUGAAGAAAUGCACAGACACAGGUGGUAAAGCCAAACAGCCUGGGAAAGUAGUAAGUAGUUAUACCAAAACAGCACGUAGAUAGCUGAUAACUAAUUAGCCAACGGUGAGCUGGGAUUUUGCACUAUGCAUGAGCUAAUUAAAAGGUGUAUAAUAAUUGGCGAUUUGGGAAUAAA